GACGAACGCUGGCGGCGUGCUUAACACAUGCAAGUCGAACGGUAAGGCCCUUCGGGGUACACGAGUGGCGAACGGGUGAGUAACACGUGGGUGUUCUGCCCUGCACUUCGGGAUGAGCCUGGGAAACUGGGUCUAAUACCGGAUAGGACCACUGCCUGCAUGGGUGGUGGUGGAAAGCUUUUGCGGUGUGGGAUGGGCCCGCGGCCUAUCAGCUUGGUGGUGGGGUGAUGGCCUACCAAGGCGACGACGGGUAGCCGGCCUGAGAGGGUGACCGGCCACACUGGGACUGAGAUACGGCCCAGACUCCUACGGGAGGCAGCAGUGGGGAAUAUUGCACAAUGGGCGCAAGCCUGAUGCAGCGACGCCGCGUGAGGGAUGACGGCCUUCGGGUUGUAAACCUCUUUCAGCACCGACGAAGCGCAAGUGACGGUAGGUGCAGAAGAAGGACCGGCCAACUACGUGCCAGCAGCCGCGGUAA
rnacentral:rRNA from 1 species